UUCCAGACCAGCUGAGGGUUACGUGGCCUGAGGGAAAUGCUUGGGCUGAGGAUGAUGCUCGUCCGGCUGGCACACUCAUGGGUCCGAUUAAAGUGGAGAUUUUGAACAAAAAAGGAGAUUCAGUGUCUCGGCUGCCCGUGGCUGGCACUACUAAGAAACUGUUGAUUGAGCUGAAAGUCAUCUGGCACUCUCCUAAAGGAGACGUCCAGACGAACUCCUACAUUGGUGCUCAUUCAUCCAAGUGGGAAUACUGGUUCAAGUCCAU